rnacentral:rRNA from 1 species
AACGAACGCUGGCGGCAGGCCUAACACAUGCAAGUCGAGCGGACCUUUCGGGGUCAGCGGCGGACGGGUGAGUAACGCGUGGGAAUAUGCCCUUCUCUACGGAAUAGUCCUGGGAAACUGGGGGUAAUACCGUAUACGCCCUCUGGGGGAAAGAUUUAUCGGGGAAGGAUUAGCCCGCGUUGGAUUAGGUAGUUGGUGGGGUAAUGGCCUACCAAGCCGACGAUCCAUAGCUGGUUUGAGAGGAUGAUCAGCCACACUGGGACUGAGACACGGCCCAGACUCCUACGGGAGGCAGCAGUGGGGAAUCUUAGACAAUGGGGGCAACCCUGAUCUAGCCAUGCCGCGUGAGUGAUGAAGGCCUUAGGGUUGUAAAGCUCUUUCAGCUGGGAAGAUAAUGACGGUACCAGCAGAAGAAGCCCCGGCUAACUCCGUG